rnacentral:sRNA from 1 species
UUUUCGCAAUAGUGAUGGAAGCGGCAUCCUUUUCUAAAUUUUUUUGCAAAAAAAAUUAGAAAAGAUAUAGCGGACAGCCCGGCUCUUA